CCUACGGGAGGCAGCAGUCGAGAAUCAUUCACAAUGGGGGAAACCCUGAUGGUGCGACGCCGCGUGGGGGAAUGAAGGUCUUCGGAUUGUAAACCCCUGUCAUGUGGGAGCAAAUUAAAAAGAAAGUACCACAAGAGGAAGAGACGGCUAACGCUGUGCCAGCCGCCGCGGAAAGACAGAGGGCUCAAGCGUUGUUCGGAAUAACGGGGCGAAACGCGUGCGUAGGCGGUUUCGUAAGGCGUGUGUGAAAGGCGCGGGCUCCACCCGCGGACGGCACCUGAUACGGCGAGACUAGAGUACUGGCGGGGGAACCGGAAUUCUCGGUGUAGCCGU
rnacentral:rRNA from 1 species